CUGGGUGUAAGGGUGCGUAGGCGGCUCUGCAAGUCAGGCGUGAAAUACAUGGGCUUAACCCAUGGACUGCGUUUGAAACUGUGGAGCUUGAGUGAAGUAGAGGUAGGCGGAAUUCCCGGUGUAGCGGUGAAAUGCGUAGAGAUCGGGAGGAACACCAGUGGCGAAGGCGGCCUACUGGGCUUUAACUGACGCUGAAGCACGAAAGCAUGGGUAGCAAACAGGAUUAGAUACCCUGGUAGUCCAUGCCGUAAACGAUGAUUACUAGGUGUGGGGGGUCUGACCCCUUCCGUGCCGGAGUUAACACAAUAAGUAAUCCACCUGGGGAGUACGGCCGCAAGGUUGAAACUCAAAGGAAUUGACGGGGGCCCGCACAAGCAGUGGAGUAUGUGGUUUAAUUCGAAGCAACGCGAAGAACCUUACCAGGUCUUGACAUCCAACUAACGAAGCAGAGAUGCAUUAGGUGCCCUUCGGGGAAAGUUGAGACAGGUGGUGCAUGGUUGUCGUCAGCUCGUGUCGUGAGAUGUUGGGUUAAGUCCCGCAACGAGCGCAACCCUUGUGAUUAGUUGCUACGCAAGAGCACUCUAAUCAGACUGCCGUUGACAAAACGGAGGAAGGUGGGGACGACGUCAA
rnacentral:rRNA from 1 species